rnacentral:rRNA from 1 species
UUUAAAGAGAGUUUGAUCCUGGCUCAGGACGAACGCUGGCGGCGUGCCUAAUACAUGCAAGUCGAACGAACGGAGGAAGAGCUUGCUCUUCCAAAGUUAGUGGCGGACGGGUGAGUAACACGUGGGCAACCUGCCUGUAAGUUGGGGAUAACUCCGGGAAACCGGGGCUAAUACCGAAUGAUAGAGUGUG